rnacentral:lncRNA from 1 species
CAAAUAUGGCCUCAGAGCCCCUCUGCGCAGCCAUGUGGCUGUAUUACCAUAGUAACUGACCAUUCAGCUGUCCUUAAUGCAUUUCUUUAUCCUCACAACAUCCUGGCAAGGUAAAAAUGUGUUUUUGUCUCCACGUAGCACAGAAGAGGCUGUGUGCAGUGGCUCACCCAGGGGCACGCGAGCGAUGCCGUUGUUCCUCCUGCAGCCUAGAACAGCACAGAAAUACCAACGUUGUCCCUCUUUCUCACUCUUUCCAGUGAUGCACAGCGCAGUUCCUCCUGGAGAUGGGCAAGGUAACCUUGCCUUCCAGAACCAGAACUUUCUCUCUUUGGGACACCAGCAUCUUGUUUGACCACCCAGGAGAUGCAAAGACUGUAAGCUCACAAUGUGAGAGAAUGAGAGCCGGGAGAGCCGAGCGUGGCGUUCCCACCCGUGACCACGGCGGAGCGCAGCCUGACGCGGGGAUGGGAGACCCAAAGGGACGCCGCGGUGCUGCAAAAACAAGGUAAACCCUUUCUGCUUUAUGUCAUUCUAUUCCUGAGGGAGAUGUGCUAAAGCCCCUGCCCCUUCUGCAAGGACAGAUAAAUUGUUUCGGAGCGAUUUUUACCAUCUCUAUUCCCUCUGCUGUGUAUCGGAGGACUGUUUUUCACCAGGAUCUCUAUUUCAUAGAUUCACAUUAGUGAAUUCAUAGAAUCACAGAAUGGCUUGGGUUGGGAGGGAUCUCAAAGAUCAUCUAGUUCCAACCACUAAUUCUUACUUAAAGCUACUGAGACGAUGCAGUUAUGAAUCAGGCCAUGCAGUUGUUGCUAUUUCAGAAGAAACCUAAGAGCAGACCAGCUUUAAUGAGAAAUAAAUUGUAAUCCAUCCCCA